GCCCUGUGGCAUGGUGGUUAAGCCCUUGGCUGCUAACCAAAAGGUCGAUGGUUUGAACCCACCCAGUGGCU
rnacentral:tRNA from 1 species